rnacentral:rRNA from 1 species
GACGAACCACCCAAACGUUAUUCGGAAUCACUGGGCUUAAAGAGUGCGUAGGCGGCUAUGUAAGUAGGGUGUGAAAUCCCACAGCUCAACUGUGGAACUGCGCUCUAAAACUAUAUAGCUAGAGGGAUAUAGAGGUGAGCAGAACUGAUGGUGGAGCGGUGAAAUGCGUUGAUAUCAUCAGGAAUACCGGAGGCGAAGGCGGCUCACUGGGUAUCUUCUGACGCUGAGGUACGAAAGCUAGGGGAGCGAACGGG